AGUUUGAUCCUGGCUCAGGAUGAACGCUAGCGAUAGGCCUAACACAUGCAAGUCGAGGGGCAGCAUAUCAAGCAGCAAUGCUGAUGAUGGCGACCGGCGGAUGGGUGAGUAACACGUAUGCAACCUACCUUUAACACGGGCAUAACUCGAAGAAAUUCGUGCUAAUUCCCGAUAAUACAGGGGCGCCGCAUGGCGAUAUUUGUUAAAGAUUAAUCGGUUAAAGAUGGGCAUGCGUUCCAUUAGCUAGUUGGUGAGGUAACUGCUCACCAAGGCAACGAUGGAUAGGGGAACUGAGAGGUUUAUCCCCCACACUGGUACUGAGACACGGACCAGACUCCUACGGGAGGCAGCAGUGAGGAAUAUUGGUCAAUGAGCGAAAGCUUGAACCAGCCAAGUCGCGUGAAGGA
rnacentral:rRNA from 1 species